CCUACGGGAGGCAGCAGUGAGGAAUAUUGGUCAAUGGGCGUAAGCCUGAACCAGCCAAGUCGCGUGAGGGAUGAAGGCUCUAUGGAUCGUAAACCUCUUUUAUAAGGGAGUAAAGUGCGGGACGUGUCGCCGUUUGUAUGUACCUUAUGAAUAAGGAACGGCUAACUCCGUGCCAGCAGCCGCGGUAAUACGGAGGGUGCGAGCGUUGUCCGGAUUUAGUUGGUUUAAAGGGUGCGUAGGCGGCCUUGUAAGUCAGCGGUGAAAGUCUGUGGCUCAACCAUAGAAUUGACUUUGAAACUGGGAGGCUAGAGUACUGUUGAGGCAGGCGGAA
rnacentral:rRNA from 1 species